UGCGGGGUGGUGUAAUAGGCAGCACCGGGGACUUUGGAUCCUCUUGUCCAGGUUCGAGUCCUGGCCCCGCAGCCA
rnacentral:tRNA from 1 species